rnacentral:lncRNA from 1 species
GUUGAUGUUUUUCUCUCUUUGUUGCCUGGAAAUUUGCCCGAAAGUCAUAGGUCACGGAUGGCAGUCUUAUUAUCACCUCACUACAUGAGAUCCUUGCAGAAAAGAAGCUUUCUGCCUCAUCUCACGUUUAUGCUAUUGUAUAUAUACUUGUUAUAUUCUGGAACAAGUUUCUGGCAACAUGCUACGCAUGAGUGGAAGGAGGCAGAGAAGACUUCUUGGAGGACUGAGAGCUGGGACAGGCACUGUGGCUGCUGCAAGCCCUCUGAGUGGUCCUGUUUUCUGCAAACAAGACAAAGCAAGGAAAUGGGCCAUCAUCUCUGCCUUUCAGUGCAGCAUGUCCUCUGUCCUCUUGACAGUGGCCAAGAGCAGAUGCCCAAGAGGAGCUAUAAGAACAAGACAAGUGCAUAAAAUACUUUCCUGAAUGCUCUCCCAGCCUGCAGCCAUUUUAGGCUUGGAGGUUUCCUGAGCUGGACAAGGUUUCUAUGGAGGUUGUAACCCUUCAUGAAUUUCUCUUCCUCUGGCUUUCCCUUUGAACUUGUGUGUCUUCCACACAGAGAAUUUUUACAAUUUUAGCAUAUUUGAGGAGCUGAUUGGAUCAAAUAUUUGUUUGCAAUUAAAUAAGAUGGCUUAAUAGUCU